rnacentral:snRNA from 1 species
AUACUUACCUGGUAGGGGAGAUACCAUGAUCACGAAGGUGGUUUUCCCAGAGCGAGGCUUAUCCAUUGCACUCCGGAUGUGCUGACCCCUGUGAUUUCCCCAAAUGUGGGAAACUCGACUGCAUAAUUUGUGGUAGUGGGGGACUGCGUUCACACUCUCCCCUU